rnacentral:rRNA from 1 species
GUGGGGAAUCUUCCGCAAUGGACGAAAGUCUGACGGAGCAACGCCGCGUGAGUGAUGAAGGUCUUCGGAUUGUAAAGCUCUGUUAAUCGGGACGAAAGAGCCUAGUGUGAAUAAUGCUAGGAAGUGACGGUACCGGAAUAGAAAGCCACGGCUAACUACGUGCCAGCAGCCGCGGUAAUACGUAGGUGGCAAGCGUUGUCCGGCAUUAUUGGGCGUAAAGCGCGCGCAGGCGGAUCUGCCAGUCUGUCUUAAAAGUUCGGGGCUUAACCCCGUGAUGGGAUGGAAACUACAGAUCUAGAGUAUCGGAGAGGAAAGUGGAAUUCCUAGUGUAGCGGUGAAAUGCGUAGAUAUUAGGAAGAACACCAGUGGCGAAGGCGACUUUCUGGACGAAAACUGACGCUGAGGCGCGAAAGCCAGGGGAGCGAACGGGAUUAGAAACCCUGGUAGUCC